UUGACCUCAAAUCAGGUGGGACUACCCGCUGAACUUAAGCAUAUCAAUAAGCGGAGGAAAAGAAACUAACAAGGAUUCCCUUAGUAACUGCGAGUGAAGUGGGAAGAGCUCAAAUUUGAAAUCUGGCAGUCUCUGGCUGUCCGAGUUGUAAUCUAGAGAAGUGUUGCCCGCGCUGGACCGUGUACAAGUCUCCUGGGAUGGAGCGUCAUAGAGGGUGAGAAUCCCGUCUCUGACGUGGACUACCAGGGCUUUUGUGGUGCGCUCUCAAAGAGUCGAGUUGUUUGGGAAUGCAGCUCAAAAUGGGUGGUAAAUUCCAUCUAAAGCUAAAUAUUGGCGAGAGACCGAUAGUGAACAAGUACCGUGAGGGAAAGAUGAAAAGAACUUUGGAAAGAGAGUUAAACAGUACGUGAAAUUGCUGAAAGGGAAACGCUUGAAGUCAGUCGCGUUGGCCAGGGAUCAGCCUUGCUUCUUAGUGUGGUGUACUUCCUGGUUGACGGGUCAGCACCGGUUUCGA
rnacentral:rRNA from 1 species